rnacentral:misc_RNA from 1 species
AGGCAUCUCGCGCGAUGAGUAUCUCACCGCGAAGUUCGGUUCUCCCGAGGCCUACAAGGGCAUCGCGGGCCGCGUGGUCGCGGCGGCUGCGGACGAAGGUCUCGAAUACAAUUCGGACCGCGUGAAGCGCCAGCCCAACACCAUCGAUUCCCAUCGUCUGAUCCAUUGGGCCGCUGCGGAGGGCAAGGCGGCGCAAAUGAAGCAGCGCCUGAUGGAGC